AGUCGUCUAUGAGCUUCGCCAGCGCGUCGCGGAACUCGAUGAGGCCCUGCGCAGGCAGCGCGAUGGUCUGGCCGCUCUGCAAGCCGCCCGGCCCGGGGCCCGCGCCGAAGCCGCCACCGCCGCGGUUGACCGUUUGGCGGAUGCGCAGGAAGCGGCCGCGCUGGUUCUCCUUGAGGUCCAGGUAGUACUUGCGGUUCUCACGCACCAAGAAUUCGCUCUUGAGCGCGCGCCGCGGCCCGCCGCCCUCCUCGGCGCCAGCCGCCAGCUGCUCGGGGCUGCUAGGGCCCAGCUGCGCGUAGUGUUCUAUGAAGUCGCCCAGCGAGUCGCGGAACUCGGCGGCCACCGCCAUGGACAGCGUGAGGCGGCUCUUGGAACCGCCCGCGCCCACCUCGGCGAUCUUGAGGAAGCGGCCCUUGGCGUUCUGCUUCACAUCUAAGUAGAAGCGCUUGUUCUGGAUGUCCAGCCGCUUCGAGGCCAGCUCCUGCGUCUCUUGCUCGCCGCCGCCGCGGGACGCGGGCUGGAACCCGCACGGCCCACCGCCGCCGCCGCGCUCGCUGCCGCUGUCGCCGUCCGCCAUCUUCUAGGCCGCCGCCUCGCCGCCACCGCCCGCCGCGCUCGCGCCCCCGCCCUCCGGCUCGCGCUCCGGGGCCCCCCAGCCUCGCCCGCCCGGCUCGCUCACGCGCUCCCGCCGCUCAUCGCCGGCCGCCGCCGCCCCCCCAUCGCCUCCGCGCCCCGCCCCCGCGACUUCCGUGCAGCCCUAGCCACUUCCGGCGCGCGAUUUCCCGUGAAGUCACUCCGUCCCGCCCUCCGCGGCCUCGCGGCCGGAAGCGCCGCGGCGGCGUGGCGCAGAGGGGUGACGUCAGGGGCCGCGCCGGGCGGGCGGCAAGCUGAGAGUAGGCUAGUGUUACUGCUCGGUUUCUAGCCCUGGGGACUUGCCAGCCUUAGCGUGACUCAGCCGCCCGCUGCGUCUGUCUACGCGCCUCUUCCCGUGACACUUUUACUUUAGACUCCGGUGUCGUCCACUUCCCUCCUUCUCGCUUCCGGGGCGUUAGCUGAGCAUACUCAGGCCCCAGCCUGCUCGCGCUGGUUGUGUGCUGGGAACAGAGUUCCAGUCUAUACACUGGCGACCGGGGGGAGGGAGAUCCUUUGGAGCACUCGGAAGCGGGUUCUGACCAGCCUGUGGGGUUCCCUAGAGGAGGCAUGAGCUGACUCUGAAGGGCAAACUGCAGUUGGCCUGGCAACUCUGGAGAAGAGCCACCCAGCAUAGGAGACGGCAGUGCAGAGGCACCCAGGGCCUGAUGCUGGGAGCUCAGAGCAGCUGGGGGUGUGUAUGCCUGAAGAAUGGUCGUAGAUGACACUGGAGGGUGGAUUAGAUCAAGGAAAGCCAUUUGCAGUGCGGGAGAGUUAGUGCCUACCCCAGAGUCUGGAGCCACCGUAUGUGAUCAGGUUCACAUUUUGGAAAGAUCACUGUGGGAACAAUAUAGAAAGAAGAUGAUUUAGGAUGAGGUUAGAUUUGGGAUCCAGAGAUCAGUUAACUGUCCCCACAGUUAGCCAUAUUAAAGUGGUUAAGGAAAUUGACUGCCAAUCUUUAGUUUCUUUAUCAAUAAAAUGAAUAAUUCCUA
rnacentral:lncRNA from 10 species